rnacentral:rRNA from 1 species
GAUGAACGCUGGUGGCGUGCUUAACACAUGCAAGUCGAACGAAGCACUCUAUUUGAUUUUUUUUGGAGAUGAAGAUUUUGUGACUGAGUGGCGGACGGGUGAGUAACGCGUGGGUAACCUGCCUCAUACAGGGGGAUAACAGUUGGAAACGGCUGCUAAUACCGCAUAAGCGCACAGUACCGCAUGGUACCGUGUGAAAAACUCCGGUGGUAUGAGAUGGACCCGCGUUUGAUUAGCUAGUUGGUGGGGUAACAGCCUACCAAGGCGACGAUCAGUAGCCGACCUGAGAGGGUGACCGGCCACAUUGGGACUGAGACCCGGCCCAAACUCCUACGGGAGGCAGCAGUGGGGAAUAUUGCACAAUGGGGGAAACCCUGAUGCAGCGACGCCGCGUGAGCGAAGAAGUAUUUCGGUAUGUAAAGCUCUAUCAGCCGGGAAGAUAAUGACGGUACCU